rnacentral:rRNA from 1 species
UACGUAGGGGGCAAGCGUUGUUCGGAGUUACUGGGCGUAAAGGGUGUGUAGGCGGUUAUUUAAGUUUGGUGUGAAAUCUCCCGGCUCAACCGGGAGGGUGCGCCGAAUACUGAAUGACUUGGAGUGCGGGAGAGGAAAGUGGAAUUCCUGGUGUAGCGGUGAAAUGCGUAGAUAUCAGGAGGAACACCGGUGGUGUAGACGGCUUUCUGGACCGUAACUGACGCUGAGACACGAAAGCGUGGGUAGCAAACAGG